CCAAUUGGACAUAAGAAUGAAGAUACCAAAAAAUUACCAUCGCAGACGUGAAACAAUUGACAUCCAGCUUCUUCAUCUGCAUAGUAACCUGUUAACGCCCGCCAAUGACGCCUGCGCUUAUGAAUGAAAAACUAAAUAUAAUAGAAGAAAUGAAAUGAAUAAUGAUACUUUUAAUUAUUGUCAUUAAUAAAUUUAAUGCUUUAUUAAAUCAGCAUCCUGAAUAUUCAAAAAAUUUUUUAAUGACAGGUUCAAUAACGCCGAUGAAACUUAAGACUGAUUCACCGACUCAGUGACCUAUUACGAAAGCUAAUAAAAUGUUAGCAACAGAUAUUCCGUGAUAUCUCUUAGACUCGUAACGCAGUACCAUACUUAACAUCCUGAUGCACUUCGUUAGUAUACAUACACCACGUAUUUUCAUCCUUGACAUCGAUGGUAAAGGUGACAAAAAGCCAAAGUGAAUGACAUAUUUUAACUAAAUGCACACUACGUUCAGUCAAGACGACAUCACGUGUAUGAGUGUCCCAAAAAAUUCUAUUUGCAUCUCAUAGCGUGCUUGUAAGUUAUGUGGAGAUAGAGUUACAAAUAUAUUUUUUUCCAAGAGUUUAACCUUGAGGAGGUCACGAGAAAGGGUCUGAUGAUUUGAUAAAUGACCUCACCUCUGAAUUGACGCUCACAUAUAAAACUAGUCUGUGGAAUCCUCGUGUAAGAUGGAUAAUCAACUCCCGGUUCUCCAGAAUACUAUAUUGUUAAAAUUAUAUAGUCAAGAUGAUUAUAACAAGAAAAUUCUUACCAGUCUCUUCAUCGUACCGAUCGUAAAUGUCAAAGGAAUCAUCUACCGCCGAAAUUUACUUUCCACGUGAUCCGUCAACCGCUCGACGAUGCGCAUGGUUUUUCCUUGGAGUGUCAUCCUUAGUUAUAGGGUAAAGUCCAUGAAUUUUUUGACAAACGAUAAGAAUAACAAAAGCUACAAGAAUAAAAGAUACUAAGCGGAUCAUUUUCAAAAUUUAAUUUUUAACAUCGGCAAAUAAUAAUAAUAAAAAAAGCACUAUUAGGAUUAUUAGUAGUAUUAUCAGUAACAGUGAACAAAAGGAGUAUCGCGAUUCACUCAAUGACAAUAGAUCACUGCACUGUGACUCUCAAUACUCAUCUCCGGCACUUCUUCUGGGCUUCUUUGCCUUCUUACUACAACAACAACUACUAUAACAACAGCAAAUCCAGAGUCGUAGUAUAAGAAUCACGUCGCACCCAAGAUGGGAAGAAGGGAUGAGUAUAGGCAAGAACCCGAAGAAGAAUAGCGACGAGAUAUUAUUCAAAAAUUCCGGUAAAGAAAUAUUCGAUGACAGUUUUUGAAUCCAGUCAUUAAUUAUUUGUAAAGAAAAAAUGGUUGAUCAAAGGACAUUGAAAAGAAAAUAAAUGAAAGAAAGCCGAAAGUAAUUGUGUAUCCGUAGCGUUUUCUGACCAUUGAAAAAUUACUAGACACUUAAAUGUUUUUUUUUUUUUUAUCUCAAUUUAUAACUAUAAUUAUGGUCGAAUACAAAUAGAAAUAAAAAAUAAACAAACAAGGAAAAUUAUAAAAAAUUUCAACAUUAGUAAUAAUAUUCGAGUUUUAACAUCUCUCGAACUUUCUUUCCUUUGUGGUAAUUUUCUAUCUGUUAAACCAUUGUAAUUGUCCGAGAUUGAGAAAGCUUUUAAGAAACUUUAAAGUGUCCUAUUACAAGAUGGGAGUUUAAGACAUAAAACAAUGCUUAAAGAUAAUAAAUUUAUGGUUUAAAAAUCAUUGUAUUUGUAUCUCGCAAUUAAAUUAAAUGAACCCCUUUAUUAUAAUGUUACGCAAGCGAUAUCGAACUCGACAGUUGAACACUUGGAAGUAUAGAAUAAUCCUCGUCGCCAUAAUCAGUGUCUAAUGAAAUAGUUAAUCCUCAUCGUGAAUUAACCGAAAAGAAAUAUUACUUUUAUCUCUCAUCUUCCAUCGUCUUCAGUUAAACUUGCAAAAUUUAUUGCAAUGUUACAAGAUACAAAUAACCGCGAUCGACCUAUAUUUAUAUUUAUUAUUUAAUAUUUACCCACUGAAAUUACAGAACGAAAGUUUUUUAUUAAAAAAGAAUAACAUUUUAUAGUUAGCCCAUUUAUAGACGUAAUUAUGUAACUUUGAUGACAUUGUUUAAACUCUUCUUUCUUCGCUGACUCGGUUCGCAUUCUUUACUUUAUAUCAUGACUACAACAACAAUAAAAAUAACAAUAAUAAUAAUAAUGACGAUAAAUAAAAUCGUCCCUUGUGAUUAAUCUCAAGCAGAUACGACUUUCGCUUUCCACUCACGCAUAUCAAUAUUCUGACUUUGAUCUUCCUCAUUUUAUUAUUAUUGUUAUUUUAUCUUUUCUUCACUCGAUAAGACUGGUUGUUAUUUUU
rnacentral:lncRNA from 1 species